rnacentral:rRNA from 1 species
UUUAAAUUUAUUUAANUUGGCGGCAUUUUUUAAACAGAGGAACUUGUUCUUUAAUUCGAUGGUCCUCGUUAGAUCUUACUUAGUUUUAUAGGUUUAUAUACCGUUGUUGAAUUUAAUUUUAAAGGAUUUCUUUUUUGAAUGUUUAAAGGGUAAAAUGAAAGUUUUGAUUUCAAAUCAAGGUGUAGCGGUAAAUUAAGGUAGAAAUUAGUUACUUUGUUUAGAAAUAAAUUUAAAUUUGUUUUUCUUUUCAUAAUUUUGUAAUUUUUAUGGUGAGGUGGAUUUGUUUGUAGGAGGAAAUUAGUUAGUUUUUUUGAUUUUUGAUAGAAAUGUGUACAUACCGCCCGUCGCUCGCGGGA